rnacentral:rRNA from 1 species
AUUGAACGCUGGCGGCAGGCUUAACACAUGCAAGUCGAGCGGGGUGAUGGUGCUUGCACUAUCACUUAGCGGCGGACGGGUGAGUAAUGCUUAGGAAUCUGCCUAUUAGUGGGGGACAACAUCUCGAAAGGGAUGCUAAUACCGCAUACGUCCUACGGGAGAAAGCAGGGGAUCACUUGUGACCUUGCGCUAAUAGAUGAGCCUAAGUCGGAUUAGCUAGUUGGUGGGGUAAAGGCCUACCAAGGCGACGAUCUGUAGCGGGUCUGAGAGGAUGAUCCGCCACACUGGGACUGAGACACGGCCCAGACUCCUACGGGAGGCAGCAGUGGGGAAUAUUGGACAAUGGGGGGAACCCUGAUCCAGCCAUGCCGCGUGUGUGAAGAAGGCCUUAUGGUUGUAAAGCACUUUAAGCGAGGAUGAGGCUCUUUUGGUUAAUACCCAAGGUGAGUGGACGUUACUCGCAGAAUAGGCACCGGCUAACUCUGUGCCAGCCGCCGCGGUAA